rnacentral:rRNA from 1 species
UACGAAGGGGGCUAGCGUUGUUCGGAAUUACUGGGCGUAAAGCGCGUGUAGGCGGGUCUUUAAGUCAGGGGUGAAAUGCCAAGGCUCAACCUUGGAACUGCCUUUGAUACUGGAGACCUUGAGUCCGGGAGAGGUGAGUGGAAUUGCGAGUGUAGAGGUGAAAUUCGUAGAUAUUCGGAAGAACACCAGUGGCGAAGGCGGCUCACUGGACCGUUGUUGACGCUGAGGUGCGAAAGCGUGGGGAGCAAACAGG